UCAAGCGAAUAAGGGCUGACGGUGGAUACCUAGGCACGCAGCGGCGAAGAAGGACGUGGUUACCGACGAUAUGCUCCGGGGAGUUGGAAGCAAACAUUGAGCCGGAGAUUUCCGAAUGGGGCAACCCUAUAUACUACUUGUUGAACACAUAGACAAGUGAGAGCCAACCCAGCGAAUUGAAACAUCUUAGUAGCUGGAGGAAAAGAAAUCAAACGAGAUUCCCUUAGUAGUGGUGAGCGAAGGGGGAAGAGCCUAAACCAAAAUACAUGUAUUUUGGGGUAGUGGGACAGCGACAUGGAAUCGAGCGAUUAGACGAAGCAUUUAAUCGAUGCACCAAAGAAAGUAAAAGUCUUGUAGUCGAAAAUUUAACGAUACUAGCUGAAUCCCGAGUAGCAUGGAGCACGUGAAAUUCCAUGUGAAUCAGCCACGACCACGUGGUAAGGCUAAAUACGUCUGCGUGAGCGAUAGCGAACAAGUACCGCGAGGGAAAGGUGAAAAGAACCCCGUUGAGGGGAGUGAAAUAGAACAUGAAACCGUCAGCUUACAAGCAGUGGGAGUUCGAUUAAACGAAUGACCGCGUGCCUGUUGAAGAAUGAGCCGGCGAGUUAUAUGUGCUGGUAGGUUAAGUAGUAGUUACGAAGCCAAAGCGAAAGCGAGUCUGAAUAGGGCGAUUAUCAGUAUGUAUAGACCCGAACCCUGGCGAUCUAACCAUGUCCAGGAUGAAGCUUGGGUAACACCAAGUGAAGGUCCGAACCGACUAAUGUUGAAAAAUUAGCGGAUGAGGUGUGGUUAGGGGUGAAAUGCCAAUCGAGCCAGGAGCUAGCUGGUUCUCCCCGAAAUGUGUUUAGGCGCAGCGGUGAAUAUUAAGCUUUGGGGGUAAAGCACUGUUUCGGUGCGGGCUGGGAGACCGGUACCAAAUCGAGACAAACUCAGAAUACCAAAGUGUACUAUCACUAGUAAGACGGUGAGGGAUAAGCUUCAUCGUCAAGAGGGAAACAGCCCAGACCACCAGCUAAGGUCCCCAAAUCAAUGUUAAGUGGGAAAGGAGGUGCAAGUGCAAAGACAACCAGGAGGUUUGCCUAGAAGCAGCCACCCUAGAAUGAGUGCGUAAUAGCUCACUGGUCAAGCGCUUGCGCGCCGAAAAUGAACGGGACUAAACAUUGUACCGAAGCUGUGGACUAGAGUAAAAAGUGCUGAGUCCUGAGUGGAAGAAUAGUAGCGAGUGGUGAGUGCUGAGUGCUGAGUGUAUGAAUUUACUACUCAGCACUCAGCACUUUCAACUCAGCACUAAGAAAUUCACUCAGCACUCAGCACUUUAUAACUACUUUAUUGGUAGGGGAGCGUUCUAUUUGAUGCGAAGCAGUAGCGGCGAGCAGCUGUGGAUUGAAUAGAAGUGAGAAUGUCGGCUUGAGUAGCGCAAAUAUUGGUGAGAAUCCAAUACCCCGAAACCCCAAGGGUUCCAGAGGCAGGUUCGUCCACUCUGGGUAAGUCGGGACCUAAGGCGAGGGCGAAAGCCGUAGUCGAUGGACAUGAGGUUAAUAUUCCUCAACUAGAAUUGUGGAGCAUUAUUUGGGACGCACCGUUGAAGCAACUAUGCCCUGAUUGGAUUGGGAGGGGAAUACGUUCUCCGUUUAGUUGUGAUUGGUGUCAAGAAAAGCAAUUAAUGUGUUGAAGCAGUUAUACCCGUACUCGAAACCGACACAGGUGGGGAGGUAGAGAAUACCAAGGGGCGCGAGAUAACUCUCUCUAAGGAACUCGGCAAAAUAGCCCCGUAACUUCGGAAGAAGGGGUGCCCAGUGAAAACUGGGUCGCAGUGAAUAGGUCCAGGCGACUGUUUACCAAAAACACAGGUCUCUGCAAACGAGUAAUCGGAAGUAUAGGGGCUGACGCCUGCCCAGUGCCGGAAGGUUAAGGAAGUUGGUCAGGGGGAAACUUUAAAGCUGACGACCGAAGCCCCGGUGAACGGCGGCCGUAACUAUAACGGUCCUAAGGUAGCGAAAUUCCUUGUCGGGUAAGUUCCGACCCGCACGAAAGGCGUAACGAUCUGGACGGUGUCUCGGAGAGAGACUCGGCGAAAUAGGAUUGUCUGUGAAGAUACGGACUGCCUGCACCUGGACAGAAAGACCCUAUGAAGCUUUACUGUAGCCUGGAAUUGUGUUCGGGCUUGGCUUGCGCAGGAUAGGUGGGAAGCGUAGAGACAUUCCUUGUGGGGAAUGUGGAGCUAACGGUGAGAUACCACUCUGGCGAAGCUAGAAUUCUAACCAAUGUCCGUAAUCCGGAAUUGGAACAUUUUCAGGUGGGCAGUUUGACUGGGGCGGUCGCCUCCUAAAAGGUAACGGAGGCGCGCAAUGGUUCUCUCAGCACGGUUGGAAAUCGUGCGUCGAGUGUAAAGGCAAUAAGAGAGCUUGACUGUGAUACCAACAAGUAGAACAGGUACGAAAGUAGGCCUUAGUGAUCCGACGGCGCAGAGUGGAAUGGCCGUCGCUCAACGGAUAAAAGUUACUCUAGGGAUAACAGGCUGAUCUCCCCCAAGAGUCCACAUCGACGGGGAGGUUUGGCACCUCGAUGUCGGCUCAUCGCAACCUGGGGCGGAAGUACGUCCCAAGGGUUGGGCUGUUCGCCCAUUAAAGCGGUACGUGAGCUGGGUUCAGAACGUCGUGAGACAGUUCGGUCCAUAUCCGGUGCAGGCGUAAGAACAUUGAGAGGAGCCUUCCUUAGUACGAGAGGACCGGGAAGGACGAACCGCUGGUGUGCCAGUUAUUCCGCCAGGAGUAAACGCUGGGUAGCCAUGUUCGGAGCGGAUAACCGCUGAAAGCAUCUAAGUGGGAAGCCCACCUCAAGAUGAGUGUUCUCAUCACUAUAAGUGAGUAAGGUCACACGUAGAACACGUGUUAAUAGGCUUUAGGUGGAAGCGUGGUAACAUGCGAAGCCGAGAAGUACUAACAGACCGAGGGCUUGACCU
rnacentral:rRNA from 1 species